rnacentral:lncRNA from 1 species
UUGGAAAAAAAUUAUUUUUAAUUUUUUUAGUAUUUCAUAUUAUUAACUUCUCUUUCAAACUUUUUGAUUUUUUAUAUCACUCAUUAGUUGGUAUUCAUAAUUGGAAAGAAUACUUUACUUAAAAGUUCAGAAAAUGAAUUUUUUGUUCUCACAACUUUAUUCUCAAAUUAAUCGGCACUCAUUGUUCACGGCUAAGAAGUUAUAUUCAAACAAAAUACGAGCACUAAAUGGCAUAACGCACAUAUUUCCCGCUCCUCACCCCCAUACAGUUCAAACAAUAAGCACAUUUGCACUCAUUUCACUUAUCACUUUGAAAAACUAAACAACAAUGCAAAUUAGCAAAUUAUAAGCAGCUUUGAACACCGCCUCACGGCCUCACGACCUUACGAUUUCGUUGUAGUACAAGCACCGCCGUAGCUCGAAACAAACAUUUCAAUAAUUCAUUAGCUUCACGUACAAAAUGCAUCACUUACUGUAAACUCAUUGUGUUGGGCAAUCGGGGGAGUUCGCUCAUAACUCAGCACAUGGCAAAUAAGAAAGAGAAUGUAACAAAAAAGAAUUCUGCACAUUUCAAUUAUCGAUAAUUUUACGCCUUUACGUUUGUACAUUAUAUUUGUUUAUCACAACAACACUUACGUUCAUUUCUGUUCACUUCAAUAAUCGUUUAACGUUAACCGUUUAUCGUCAUCCUUGAGUUUCAUAAGUUCAUCCAAACGACGAAAUAUCGUACAACAAGCAAUUUUUAUGUAAAAUCAAAUGGUGUGACGUAAGCAACUGGGAACCAUUAGUGAGGUUAGCUACACAUUAAACAAAGGAAUUAAGCGAAAGAGAAGAAAAAAUAAGAAACAAAGAAAAGCAAAGAAUUAACGAAGCAACAACAAAACUACAACUAUACAACCUACUGAAAACUACAAGUCAAACAACAAUCAACACCAAAUUUAGUAGAGUAACGCAGUAAAAACUAAAAUUACAAGUAAUUUGCAUAAUAGAUAAAGUUCAAAAAGCAAACUAUAUCGAGAUUCAAGUUCAUCUCAAAAUUCGAGCAAACAUAAUGACUAAAGAUGUAGUGGUGAAGAGUGUGUAGUAUGAGUAUAAGCCAUGAUGGCAGCAGGCGGUAGUGGGUCUAUGCUUUUGCGCAGAAAAUGUAACUGAUAAAAAGCGUAAGCUUGCAACACUGCUUUGCAAUAAAGAUUCUAAACAAUUGUAAUAUACAAUAUAGAUAUGUUUAUAUGUACUAAACCACAAAAAAAACAAAACACUUGUACUAGACAAAACAAAAAAACUAUGUAUAACUAAACGUACUUCAAACUAUACCAACAAAACAAACUAAAAAGGUAAAACUUACAUAUAUACCUUAUAUAUAUAUGUUAUUAUUUGAGAAACUUGCGCAAGUAUUAACAAUCUCAACUUUAGCAUGAAACUGAAAAGAGUAAGAACUGGUAGCUACAAAUGCUAUUUGCCGUUAUUAUUGGAGGUUAGGCAUCGGACUCCUAACGUAUCGGCUACGCAUACGAGUUUGUAUAUAUUUCUUUUGAGAAUUAUAUUCCUUAACAUCUACAUAUUUAUUUGAGACAAAAAACAUUAGAAAGUCCAGUUUCUUUCUGAUUGAGGGCAUUUUUUAUUGAAAAAAAAAAAUAUAUAUUAAUUUUUUUUUUGAAAGAUAAUCCAAAAUUCAAGCAAAUUAUUAUACACAUACAUAUAUGUUGGACGAAAUACGUAUAAAAACAUAUAUAUAAAAAUGUAUAAGGCUUACUGGAAGCAUCUCAAAUAUCAAACCUAACCCAAUAUUUGAAAAGAAAAUAUAUAAAGUCGAACAGUCUAACCACUAACAUUAAAUUGAAGCAUGAGGGAACUAACGAUGUCAAAUUUUAGGCGUUUCAAGAUCAUUCAGAAAUACAGAAAACCGAGAAAUAUUUUUCACUUGUACUCAUAUAUACCCAACUUCAAGCAGUACGUGCUGCCAAUAGUGUCUCAAAAUUUUUCCAAGAAACAAAUUUUUACUAUACAUAAACUUCGUCGGAUCUAGCUGAUCUGUUACAACAAAGACGAUUGAAUUACAUUUUUUGAUAAAGUUUCCCUUGUAAAGGGUUUUUUAAUAAGAGCGCUACAAAUUUUUUUUUUUUUAAUAAAACAAAAUCAAUGAAAAACAAAACAAAAAAUGUAUUCCUGUGAAAGUACAUUCGAUGCCAUUAUGUAUAGAACUCGAUUUCUUUUGCAUGGCAACCACGGGCCCGCCUCGAAGUCCAGAAGUCCAAACGCUGAACCCAAUUUUCAACGGUUUUCGUGCAUAAAUCGGCCGAUACUGCUGCAAUAUCAGAUUCGAUAUUCGUACUCGAUCAGACGUCGCUGACUUGUUGGCAUAAACCAAAGAUUUUACCUAGCCCUACAGGAAAUAGUCUAACGGCGUCAAAUCAGACGACAAGGCGGCCAAUUAGCUGGGCCAUUUCGUGAGAUAACACAUUCACCAAACUUGGCCAAUACCGUAUUUUUUUCGUGAUGCAAUGGUGACUGAUGGGAUCCAAUAACGCAUGCCUAUUGACGAAGCCAUUCAGCCAGAAAAGAGCAUCAUCGUUGAAGAUGAUUUUUCGAUUAAAUUCGCGAACAUACGACGAUUUUGGUGGUCAAGCUUCAGUUCUUGCGUCAAUUUGAUCUUGUAAAGCCGUAGGCCAAAAUCUUUUUGCAAAAUUCACCAGAACAACGUCACGGAGAUGUCCAAAGAUUGAGAACGACGUGUGAGAAACUGACUUGGGUCUUCCUCAAUUGAUGCGCUACCGGCAGCAAUAUUCUUGACACAACGGGUACUUCUUUGUCUCACUGACACGGGAGCAUUUUGCGGUGUGCCUGUGGAUUCAAAUUUUUACACUAGACACUCAAUUGCUGAUCUGACAGGACUAUUAUGACGACCAUAAAUUUGACGUAGCGCUAAUAAGUUGAGGCCACUGACUACGAAUUUCGACUCGUUGUUGUAUCGUAUAUCUUUCCAUGAUGAAAUGGCAAACUUUAAUAAAGAUAAAUGUCAAAAGCGCGGGAAAAAAUACGGCGUCGUUUGCUGUCCCUAUUGAUCUACUUUUGUAGUGGUCUAUUGAAGAACCCUAUAUACACGAAGUGUGCGUUGAAUACAAUAAGCGUGUUAGGACUUAAAAAACUACUUUGCCGUAAGAAAUAUGAACUUGCGUUAAAGUGAAGGUUUUCUUAAAGAAACUCGCUCAUACGAAGAAACAUUUAUCCCACAAUAAAUAUUAUUUAUACAUAUGUAUAUAUAUGUAUAUAUGGAAAUAUGUACAAGACUCGUAUGGAAGCUGGAGCAGCAGGACUUGGUUACAACGAGCUGGCUAGCUAGCUAACAGUAGUUAUUUUAAGAUCAACAACUGACUUGCUCAUCUUACUAUUAACACAUUGACAUACACACACACAUACAGGCGCUAACAUUUGUAAAUAAGGCUUUUGGCAUUCAAUGUAUAGAUUAUUCGAUCAAUAACACAACA